AUGCUGACCGCUGCCCUGCAGACGGACCAUGACCACGUGGCCAUCGGUGCGGACUGCGAGCGCCUGUCGGCUCAGAUCGAGGAAUGCAUCUUCCGGGACGUUGGAAACACAGACAUGAAGUAUAAGAACCGUGUACGGAGUCGUAUCUCCAACCUGAAGGAUGCCAAGAACCCUGACCUGCGGCGGAAUGUGCUGUGUGGGGCCAUAACACCCCAGCAGAUCGCUGUGAUGACCUCAGAGGUGAGCCCCUGUUGGAGGGGCUGGAGGGCUGCUCCCUCGGAGCGGUGGGCUAAGCCACUGGCCCCGUGCUCCAGGAGAUGGCCAGUGACGAGCUGAAGGAGAUCCGUAAGGCCAUGACGAAGGAGGCCAUCCGAGAGCACCAGAUGGCCCGCACCGGCGGCACGCAGACAGACCUGUUCACCUGCGGCAAGUGCAGGAAAAAGAACUGCACCUACACACAGCCCUCGUUACAGGUGCAGACCCGCAGCUCUGAUGAGCCCAUGACCACCUUUGUUGUCUGCAACGAGUGUGGAAACCGCUGGAAGUUCUGCUGACCCCUUGUGUAGAUGUGCUGCAGCCUUGGGCCCUCCCCUGCCCACGUCCUCCGUUGACACAGCUUCUCUGGAGACCCUAGAAGGCGGCAUGUCCUGCCCUCAACCUGCCUGCCUGGAUUGCACCUUUCUGCCCUUUCCCCCUCAUUAUUAAAUGUUUCUUUUUGCCA
rnacentral:sRNA from 1 species